rnacentral:lncRNA from 1 species
GUACAUUAGACUUAUUGCAAAGAAUCUCUCAAAUUUGUUGUCUUUUCAUUUAUUUGAUUUACAUGCAAAAAACAACUUAUUUGUACGAGGUUAGCCAAUUCAGUCAAUUAUCUUUUAUAACUUCCUCUGAUUAUCAUUAUCUACAGAAAGUCCUUCCUGAUUCCAAAGAGCAGUCUGAUCCAAGUUAUUUCAACUAGGGGGCUAGCCCAUCCUCUUCUUCUUCCAAGGCCAGGGCCCACUUCACAGGCAUCUGAUUCAGAAGAUUUCCCUCCCCAACUAGACUCAUCAAACCCCAAGCUUCCUUUCCCUGCUUACUCUUUUGCAUAAUUACACAGUGAGGUCAUGUGUUUACCAUACCAUUGUUCCAUCGCCAUGGAGAUGAUGAGCCGCAAAGCACUGGCAAGAGGCCUCCCAUGCAGGAUGAAGCCAAAGAAGAAGACGGAGAGAAGAGAGGAAGGACACGCCCAUUAACCAGAGGACCCAAAACAUAUCUCAAGGAGCUCAUGAAGUCACCCUCAUGCACACAGUUUCCCAGGUGUCAGAUCUGUUUGUUUCUCCAGCUGCUGGAGAUGAAGGAGUAAUGAUUUCCCCCUCCCCCAAGAAGCUAGAACCUAAGGGGAUAAUGGAUCCAACUGCUCUUCAAGCUCUCCAGCCUUGUGGAGCUCAAUGUUCAAAACAAACAAACAAAGAAACAACAACAAACAAAACAACAAAAAACAAAAAAACACCCUUACAGAGAGAAAGUACUCACCUGAAAACCGAUAAUCACCCAUUUCCACAGGUAGGCAUUUCCAUGGCUUGUAGAUUACCCACAGGUUUAUAAAAGGACAGCUGGGGCCUGACAUAUCAAAGGAAGGGUAAAAGUUUUGUUGGCCUCAGAAUGCUGCCCUGGCUCACUUAUCUGGAGCCUCCAUUAAGAGAGCCAAGGAUGAGUGUCAUCCUUGGCCCAUGGGCAGCCUGUCCAGAGUGACCAGCUGGGUAAGGUAGCGUGGGCAUGGGGGCUGGGAUAGCGAAGAAGGAAGUGGGGCAGAGGGGGCUCUGGGGCCCACUGUCUCAGAAACAAUCUCUGGUGUUUUGGGGACAAUGCACAGAGGCCCAAAGAAGGCUGGCUUUAACUGAGAGAGGACAGAAUGGCAGAAUUUUAAGGGUUUUUCAGAUACCCUAAUGCCUCCUUCGAUUGUCCCUUACUUCCACACAAAAUGCAACAUUAGCAGUACAGUUCUUUGAGAGGUAAUAAGCCUGGACCCAAACCCCAGUAACUCUACCCCAACUUGGCACUCAGUGACAUUACUUCCAAAUUUCCAACCCCCAGAACCUUGCCAUUAAGAUAAAAACCACCAAUACCACCAAUAUACCAUUACACAUUGUGUCCCUGCAUUUUUGUUUGUUUUUUGGUUUUGGUUUUUUGUUUGUUUGUUUGUUUUUUGAGACAGGGUCUGGCUCUGUCACCCAGGCUGGGGCACAGCAAUCAUGGCUCACUGCAACCUCAACCUCCCCAGCUCAAGUGAUCCUCCCACUUUAGCCUCCUGAGUAGCUGGGACUACAGGCAUGCACCACCACACCUGGCUAAUUUUUCUGUUUUUUUUUGUAGAGACAGGGUUUCACCAUGUUGCCCAGGCUGGUCUCAAACUCCUGGGCUCAAGCGAUCCUCCUGCCCUGGCCUCCCAAAGUGCUAGUAUUACAGAUGUGAGCCACCAUGCCUAGCCCCUGUGCUGCAUUUCUUUAGCAAAUUGUUUUUGGUUUUAAAGUGACUUAUAACCUUCUAUCAGAGCUUCAGAGAGGCAGUGGCUGCAGGGAAAGACUCAGACAGGAGAACUAGACUCUCGCCCCACUAUGCCAUAGUGGCCCGUGCCUUCUGGUCUUUUCUUUUCCACUGAUUCUGCUCUUCUGCAGGUAUAAUUAGUAAGGAUGGGAUAAAGCUGGAGUAGGGUGGGUCUUUCAUUCAAUAUAGUGGGUGUCCUUAUAAAAAUGAGGUAUCUGGUUGCAGGGCCAUACACUCAAGAACACCAUGUGGGGAUGAAGGCAGAGAGCAAGGUGAUGCAGAUGAAGCCAAGGACGCUGAAGACUUCCUGCAAACCCCCAGAAGCUGGCGGAGAGGCCCUGCCAGUCUUCAGAAGGAGCCAACCCUGCUGAUACCUUGACCUUGAACUUCUAGCCCCAGAACUAUGAGAAAUAAAUUUCUGUUAUUUAAGCCACUCAGUUGUCUUACUUGGUUGUUGGCAGCCCUGAGAGGCUAAUUCUUAGCACUUUCUCUGGAUGUCCUCAACACUCUCCUGGUUCUCCUCCUGCCUCAGAAGCACUCCUCAGCUGGUUCCUUUCAUUUCUCCAGAGUUUAUAUAGGAGUCUCCUGAGCCAAGCGACUCCCACCUCUUCUUUUCUUUCCCAACAUUCUGUCCCUGGGUAAUUUCCAAUUGUCCCAUGGGGCUUUAGAAACCACGUAUGUGCCAAUUUAAAAUUACCUCUCCCAGACCCAUAGAUCUAACGGCCUACUUGGCAUCUCCCAGUGAAUACUUAACAGGCAUCUCGAACAUAAGAAGUCCAAAGCCUUCCCCCAAGGGGCUGGGUAGCAGACUGGGCCCCAGGCCCCAAGGAGAAAGGGCUCAUCUCAGGCCAAGCCUUGGGAUCAGUUGAUGCUGUACCCUGGGAGGGAAGUGGCUCUGCUCUGGCACGUUGGCUCAACAGGAUGUGAGUCCCAGGGAAUGCUGGGCAUUCGGGUACAGUGGAGAAUGGGACAGAUGUGGUGCCUGCCCAUGGAGCCCAUAUUCUUGACUCUCCCAAUGCAUUUCUAUCCCAGUCCAUAAGAAAUUGUACAGGCCAGCUGGCAGAAAACACUUCAGGACUACUAACAUGUCUAAAUUUUAAUCUAAAUUUGCCAUGUUAAGAAAAACAGCCCUUUUACAUUUCAAAACUAAACCACACUUGGGCAAGUUGAGUGGAUGAAGCUUUGUCAUUAUUGGUGGGUAAUGUGGAGGGGUGGGGGACGGAAUUGAAAGGGGAGGGUCUGUACUGGAGAUACAAAUCAUGCCAAUGAGCAUAGCCAUUAUCUGUUUGUAUAGACAGAUUCUUUCAAAGGAUAUAAGUUAUUCCUCCAAAGUUAGGUCAGAAUUCAAACAGUGAACACUAAAAUUACUUAAUGUGCUAUUUUUUUAAAAUGUGCAAACAAGCCAGCAAAUAAUAUUCACUAACAGGAGAAAACCAACAUUUUCAAACACUUUCAAGGCCUGUACAAAGUAUAAUAAUUUAACUUAUUUCCACUUCACGAAAACAAUUAUUCCUCCUCCAUCACUCUCCUUCCAUGUUUAGGAAGCAAUUCGCAGAUCCAUCCAAAUUUAUAUCCAAAUUGCAGCUUUUAAAAAGGAAGCUCAUCAAUGAUUCUGAUGGGUUAUGCUUCCCGCCAAUCCCAGUGCAUUUCACUCUUUCAGUACCUGAGGGUCCCAUCCUGUUAUCUAGAUAUGCCAUCCUGUGAGCCCCACCUUGGCCUCGUGUCUCUGCCACUUGGCUUGGCAUCAUUAGAAUAGCAUUUCACUUAAGAACUCAGGACCACCCAGAACUCGGAUUCCCUGAUGGCCUAGGUUACUCAAGGAGGAAGCGAUUGUGAGUCCAGCAUAUCAAGGAUGCUUUCCACAGUCCCCAAGGUUUGGCCAGGGAAAGCUCCACCUGAGCUCAAGGUCGCCAGUGAGCUUCCCGGAGCUGAUUGCUGAAUUCAGGUGCAAAGGGUGGUGGGGAGAAAGGCUUGUCCAGGAGUGCCUGGAAGCUGGAUACAGCAAGUGCCUGUCCCACCAGCAAAGGCCUGCAGCAGCUUCUCUGGCAACAGGCAAACUCCUGGAGUCUGGUUUGGGGCCUCCUCCGUGUCGGGCUCUCACUUCUUGCCCUUCCUGGUUCCCCUUCUCCAGUUUCUAUCUCGAUGCAGAUCCCCUGCCCUAGGGGACCAGCAUGAGAGACCU